rnacentral:rRNA from 1 species
AAUGAACGCUGGCGGCAGGCCUAACACAUGCAAGUCGAGCGGAGCGGCGGACGGGUGAGUAAUGCCUACGAAGCUGCCCGGCAGAAGGGGAUAAGGUCCGGUAACGGGCGCUAAUCUCGUAUACUAUCAGCUGAGCCUAGGUCGGAUUUGCUAGCUGGGGGGGUAAAGGCCUACCAAGGCGACGAUCCGCAACUGGUCUGAGUGGAUGAUCGGUCACACUGGACCUGAGACACGGUCCAGACUCCUACGGGAGGCAGCAGUGGGGAAUAUUGGACAAUGGGCGAAAGCCUGAUCCAGCCAUGCCGCGUGUGUGAAGAAGGUCUUCGGAUUGUAAAGCUCUUUAAGUUGUGAGGCGUUACCAACAGAAUAAGCACCGGCUAACUUCGUGCCAGCAGCCGCGGUAAUAC